rnacentral:rRNA from 1 species
AUUGAACGCUGGCGGCAGGCCUAACACAUGCAAGUCGAGCGGAUGUAGGGAGCUUGCUCCUGGAUUCAGCGGCGGACGGGUGAGUAAUGCCUAGGAAUCUGCCUGGUAGUGGGGGAUAACGUCCGGAAACGGGCGCUAAUACCGCAUACGUCCUGAGGGAGAAAGUGGGGGAUCUUCGGACCUCACGCUAUCAGAUGAGCCUAGGUCGGAUUAGCUAGUUGGUGGGGUAAAGGCCUACCAAGGCGACGAUCCGUAACUGGUCUGAGAGGAUGAUCAGUCACACUGGAACUGAGACACGGUCCAGACUCCUACGGGAGGCAGCAGUGAGGAAUAUUGGACAAUGGGCGAAAGCCUGAUCCAGCCAUGCCGCGUGUGUGAAGAAGGUCUUCGGAUUGUAAAGCACUUUAAGUUGGGAGGAAGGGCAGUAAGUUAAUACCUUGCUGUUUUGACGUUACCAACAGAAUAAGCACCGGCUAACUUCGUG